AUAACAAUUCUCGAUUGAAAUGAUACGUUAAGGAGACUUGAGUUUCACGAAUAAUGCUUGAUAAUACGUCGAUAAAUCUGCGGAAAUAAACCAUUGCGACAAUUAUACGACUGUUACGAGACUAUUGUUCAUAACUAAUCUUCGUUAUAAUUGAUUUCUGAAAAUCCUUGGAAAAUUUUAUAUUUUUAUACUGUUAUUAACGACAAUUACUUACUAUUUAAAUGAUUAUAUAUGCUUCCUUUAUUUAGAUAGUACAAUACAGACUGAAGUAUAGCUAUAGCAUAAUAUAGUACCAACAAUAGCAAAUGAUACUUAUUAAAAAAUACUGAUAAGCACACUGAUUAAAAAAAUUUAGGUGACGAGAACAUUGACGACUGCACAAUGUCUUCGCAAUUAAAUUCCACUCAUUUAUGUCGCACGGUUUAAUUCACACCUAACCUUGAUUUGAAUCUCAUUUCAAUGCGCUUCUUAAUAGACUUAAUAGAUUCUAAGUGGAAAAGAGAAUGCACGAUCUCUUUGUUGAAGUAUGAGACAAAGGUAGCGAAAGAAUAGUGAUUGAGAACAAGAAAGUAUGCAAGCGUGAAGGCGAGGAAGAAAAGGACGUAUACGAGAAAAAGACAGUGAAAUGAAUAGAGGUUAAAGAACGCGUCGAGGAGAAUCGCGGAACAUCGACGUAGUUCUUGACAGUGGACAUAAACAUACCAGUUCGUAUUGUGAGUCAUAAACAUACACAUAUACAUACAUGUGUAUUUCACUGGUGAUCGUGUAUUCUAAUAUCACUUUAGUUAUUUUAUAAUUGAUAUUCUUGUCAUUUUACCAAUUAAUUAAAAAUAUUAGAAGUUGCACGAUCUAUGGUUACAUAAAAUUGAAUUAUUUAUCAAUUUUUAAGGAGUACUAUAGACGAUGACGUUGAUGGCGUUCCUCAACAACUGCUGAUGGGUCCUCCCAUUUAUAACUACUGUAAGCACACGUCUUGACGCUAUGUUUUUCAUCGGUGUUGUCACCCCAAAGAAUUUUACCGUCAUACAUAAAAGUUUUACGUGAUAUAAAUACGCCUUAGAGAAAAUUUCUUGUACACCGGAGUGCAUCGAUGAAUAUUUCAAAUACCAUAUUGACGUACUGCGCGCGCGCGCGCGCGCGAACGUUUCUUCCUCCCUUAUGCUCCCCAUAUCGAGUACUGAUAAUUCAUUAAUUUAUGAUAAGCUAGCCUCUCGCCUACAACCUGCAUCUCUCCCACCUCACCCCAUAAAUCAUUUUCGCCGCUGACAUUAAUUGCACGCCGCCCCUCGUUACUGGGAGAAAUGAGAUUUUUUUAAUUGGCAAAUUUUUCACCGUAGCUGACACUGUGACACCCUCUCUUGGGGUUAUCAUUUCUUUUUUCGUAUUGCGAUUACAUCACGCAAAAGGAUGUGUAUGUGUUUCAUACGAUAUAUAUGUAUUUUUUAUAUGAAAUAUUUUCCUUUUUUGCACCUAUGAUGACCAUGAUUUUUAUGGUUUAUUACUAAAUGUAAUAAAAAUACUGAGAUUAAAUAUUAAUGCAUUUUAAAUACAUAAGAUAAGAAAAGUCGAAGUGAAAGUAAAAUGACAGAAUGAAAACUGUAUGUGUCAAAUAUAAUUUUAAAGAUAUACAUAUACUUGUUUAAAUGAUCUGUAAACCAUUAGUUAUAUAAAAUAUAAAUUCAAAGCUCAAGAAAAAGAUACAAGACUACUAGUUCGAAAUUAAUAAUUCAUUAAUCCAAUUAAAAAUUUUAAUAAAGCUGAUGUAUUGUGAUAAACUUCACGUGCGAUAUAUUUAGUACGGAUACUUAAGGGUAUUAUCUUAUUUACGAAAUAAUCUUAAUCUCUUAAACAACUAACAAUACGAUAUCAUUAUGUGAGCAAAAAAUGUAAGAUAACGAAAGUUCUCGAGUUGUAUAGGAAAUCGCAACAUUCUCAUAAAACUAUUCGUCUCGUGUACAAUACUGUACUUAAUUUUACGAUCUUUUUUUCAAGUGGUUUAUUAGAUUCGGAAGCGCGUUGAAUCGCGGAAGGUUAAAGAAGGAUGCUGCCGCGGUGAGUUGUGUGAGCUCUAACUUGUCCGCGACAUGUUUGGACUGUGACCGUCACUUAAAGCUUAAACAUGUGGUGCACGUGUCUCCCUUACAAAGCACGCCGUGCCACCGUCCCGUGGUACAUUCCACCGAUUCGAAUCCCUAAUCUUCCCUCCGGCUAUUCAGAAGUUUCACAUACGUCAGGUACUUAAGGAGCUGGACAUUAGUGUAACGAUAUCGUAUUCUAUUUUUUUUUUACCCAACGAAGACGAUGUACACGACAGUGAUCGUGCUACUCACUUAUAUUUGAUGAGUAAAAAGAAAGAACAGAUUCUGUAAUAUUACCAAAAAAUUCCCUAUAUUCUAAAAAAAUGAUUAGAAAUGGAUAUUUUUCUCUAUUGACCAUCUGUUUGUAAUAUUUACAGCAUUAAAUUUUAAAGAAAAAAAAAAGUAUUUUUAGGCGGAAAUGGAGAGUUUUGUCGUUUAGAAAAAGUGAACAUUUUUAAAUACUGAUCUAGUAUUAAGAUAUCACUGAAAUUUAUCUCUCGUCGAGUAAUUAAGAAAGAUUAAUAGCCUGUGUAUGGAUAUCGACACGAUAGCUAAUAAUUAGCAGCUCACAGCUGACUAGAUUAAGUUCCUCGUAGACAAGUUUCCGUAAAUGUUCCAAAUGUCACGCGUUUGUACGGAAAUUUACAUAACUUUCGCUACCGCAAUCUGAAACGGCAAUUAGUUCCUUAUCAAAUAUUGCAUCAUACUUUUCUGGUUUUAAUUUUUAGUACCGUUCUAUAGCAUAUGCGAAUAAAACUUCUUAAGUUAUUUUUAAGUAUAUGAAACCUUGAUCUUUUCGUUUUAUUCAUAAAUUCGAAAUUUCAAAAUUAUUUAAACAAUGUUAUUGAAGUAUUCUAUAAUUUUCUUAAGUGAACGCGGUUGGACGACAUUAAGUUAACUAUAAAUCAGAAACGAUUAAACUAAAAUCCUUUAUUCAUGAGAAAGUGAUUUAAAACGUUUAUGCGAACGGGGUAACUGCUGAAAGCACCAGUUGAAAAUGUCAAGGGGCCUUCAAAUCUUCAAGAAAACGUUCUAUAUUAUUUUACACACUUUACGCGUGAAUCGUGAAUCGCCAGUGUAAGUGUAAGUGAAAAUUCGUUUUCCACCGAGGGGGUAUCGUUCGAGGGAGAGAAGACGUUGUUUGGUGUUCCAUGGUUGGAAGGGCCUUAACUCGAUAAGUCCUCACGGUACCUGAAGUGAGCUCAUAAUCGUGAACGAAGCGCGCAACCGCUUAUUACAAGCGAGGGCAUUGUAAAUUUGCAGGGAAGGAGGUUAGAAAGAGGCCGAAACGAGAGAAGGAUGGACGCACAGAGAGAUCCAGACUAUGCUUUUCGUCGGUCAUUGGUUUGUUCGUCCACCGAGCAGGCGGCGCCUCAAACGUCAAUUAUACGCAAAAGUUCGUCGACCCGACAUUGCCGAUCGUACAGAAACAUCCACCUAACCUUAACCUAACGACAAAUUGUCAGUAGUUUCCCUUGUGGGGAAAAGAUCAGUUAGAAACAAUUAAGUCGGUCUGUGCAGCAGCUUAAAUCAGAAACGACACUAAUACGUCUUCCGGGAACACCGAAAGGAGAUCCACGCACCGAUCCCUGCUGUUUCUCUCUCCCGGCUCGUUCUUCUUAUCCCUCGUAAUAAUAAUUACCAACACACCGCGGUGCAGGCACACCGAGAAACCAACGGCAGCAGCAACACGGAACGGACAGCUAUCUAAAAGGUUGGGCUGUAUAAAAAUGUGGCCACCUGAGAUGCCAGAAUAAAAUGUAAUGGAAACUGAAUCUAAUUGAAGGCUUAUAUGAAUUUCUCGGAAACUAAGACCGUACGGCGGCGAAUGGCAACAUAUGUCAAGGUCAUUAAAAUCGACGAGGCCGUUCAAUCAGCAAACCUGGGAAAAAGAAGUUUUGGGAAUCGUGGCGCGUAUAAAGCAUCGAAGGUGCUAACCGAUGCCCGAGCGCAGGUACACUCGUACGUCUUCGGGGACGGUGAGGAUCAGGGUCGUUAACACUGGUUCGCGGCGGGUACAUCGACGUCCGACGGGGGUCGGCACCUUCUUUUUUCGAUUCUACAUACGUACCGACGGAUAUACACAUUGAUUGCAUUUUUGCGUCCGUGCCGGGUAAUAAUGCUAAUUUGGCGCAAAUUAUCUUAGAACAAGGCUCGUUAAGUCAGACGUUGGUCGGAACGUGUGUCACGAAUUUGCAAAUGGCGUGAAGCUGACGAGACCAAAGAAGCGGCAACCGUGACUCGAAGUCACGGGCAAGAGAACGCGUGACAAUAAGUGCAUCGACUCUUUGAACGUGUCAGUCGAAAGUCGGAGCUCGCGAAGAGGAUCUGUCGUCACUUGGUUGGUAUAGUUGAUUUCUUCGACAAGAUGGAACAGACUGGCGAAAGAAAGAGGAAAACAGACUAUUCCGUGGACCGUGACGGCGCACAUACCGUCUUCGAUAUGGCAUAUACGAGGAAGAGUACUACCGAUGGCCUGGGAAUUUUCGUCGCGAGGAUCUCUAACGCGGAUCCGAUGUAUCUUCUCGAACGAAGAAGAUCGAAAGCGCGAAAACGAAGCAGAUAGACGGAAGAGCGAGACCGAGGAGACUGUUCGGAAGAAACAGAGAGAGAGAGAGAGAGAGAGAGAGAACAAGUAGAAAUUGCUGGAGGUUUGAAGAGGCGCGAGUAAUUUUGAUAAAACAAGUAGGGAGAUCGGUAGCUGAAACGAAGAAGGAAAAAACGAGGACGCUGUUGUACAUCGAUAAUGGUUCGAUGAUAGCAACGAACGUGUUAAGAGCGAAGAAGGCUUGGAUGGUGAGAGUCAAGAUUUUGUAGCUUUUCUACAACGCACGUGAAGGUAGAGAAAAAAAGGAUCGAAUAGGUAUGGACUACAUGUCUCAACGACACGCAGCAAAUUGCAAUGUUACAAAUUGUCCACCGAAUCUCUUUCGAUUGUAACAGCGCGGCAUAUCUUAGAAUUCGUUACAGUCAUGUCUGUCAAAUUUCGAGGCUCACCUCGAGUAGUCAGUCGAGCAUGAUAGUUUAUUGUUCCAGUAUACGAGUGUACGAACACUGAUAUAAACACAGGCCAAUUCUAUGGCGUGUAUGGUGUACAAUUCUGGUUUACGGUACGCUUGAACAUUCUCUGUGCAGAGCACAAUGCAUAUACGUUAUGUAUGUAUAUAAAAGAAGAAAAAGAAAGGGAGAGAGAUGCCUCGGAGGUGUUACGGCGUAACUCCGUCAUUAUCCUCGGCGGCCGUGAUCGUCCGGGGAAAAUUAUAUUCAGAUGAGAAGGAAAUCAAUUCCACGAUAGAAUCGGCGAGCCUUCGAUUAGAACCGAAGCUGGUGCGGGAAAUGCAACGGAAAGUGGAUUAAAUUCCAACGGAUGUUUCUUUUUCGAGUAUUACCGUCGAGAACAUUGCUUCCUCGGAGGCCAGAUCGUCUUCGACGUUUCCAGUCGCUUCUCACCCCGGUGUCGCUGGAUCGACCGACGAUGAGAGAGAAAGAGAAACUAUCACGGGACCGUGAAGGAAGAAAAAGGGGAUGGGAGAAGAACCAUAAAGCGUCGCAGGGCCCUGGUACUGCUUUUCGCUGCUACGGCUAACUACGCAGUCUAUAUAGAUCGAUAUAAUUAAUAGCUCCGGCAUGGAUCGGGUAACAUAUGGCUCGGGACACGUUCGAAGAACGGAGAAGGACAGAAAACUCGGGGACAGCAGAGUGGAGAGAGGAGAAAAGACUCGGGGCACAUCGAACUCUUGGACCGCGCUGCAUUCAAAGGGAUUAGAGGCGAAUAAACGAACACCGCGAGGUGUUCUCGUGCAAGCGAAAAAAAACGACAGCGGCAUGCUAAUUCCUACCUGGUGGCGUCCUCAAGGUCCAAGGAGGAGCCUACCAGUUGAACUCGUUCGCCUGUUCGUCACACUAUUUUCGGUGUGAGUUUAAUAUUGACCCGGCGAGAUUAGGUGCGAGCCAGGUUUGGAUUAAACGAAGCGACGGCUUUCUUGAUCAUUCGUGAAGAAGUUAAGGGUUUGGUUUCGUUUAACGUUUGGAGAAGUUGAGAGAAAAUUGAGGAUAUCUGUGAAGGGUGAGUUUCCUAUGCGAUUAGAUUGUUUUAAGGAGGAUAGCGAUGAGGAGGAAGAAGAAUUAGAAGAAGAAACGGUGACUUGGAUUGCGUAUUCCUUCUUUUAACAUAUGUCAUAGACGAUCAAAUUUUUAGGCAGAAUUUUAUUCCUAGUUAUCGGUGUUGUAUUUCUCUAAUUGUGAUUGCAAAUUUCUAGAUUUCGACGAUUUUAAUUUGUCAGAAACGAAGCACGUACAGAGAGCAACCGAAUGAGUAUCGAGGAAUCGAAUGAGUAUUGAUACUCAUGGAUAGAACCAACAAAAAAUAUACGACAGGGCAGAACAAAAAAUUCUUUCUGUUCCAAUUUCCAUCCCUCGCUAUUCGAUACGAUAAAUUCAAGCAGCGAUAGGGAUACCACAGUAAUAUCCAUUAAAAGUAACCUAAAUAGAACACACAACCAUAUAUAUAAGUGCACGCGUACUCUCUACAUUCUUAACAAUAAUUUAUCGAAGAAUAAAGCUUCCGUAAAGAACAUCACUUUGUAUUUCCGACCUAUUUUCCCCAUAAAUUCGUCCUUUCUCAAGUUGGUAGCAUCAAUUCAAAAAUACCCUGUAUAUCGCAUACGUAGAGUUUCCAUGUGAAUUGCCAUCGAUGGACAAAGAACGAAAGAAAGAUGCCAGUUCAACCCUCUAGUGGAGAUAUCAUUUGCAUUCCCUCGUCGACAAGGCCACGUGGCCAUACCGUGCACACGGCCUUUUUCGCACCCCGCGCUCGCGCGAGUAAACGGCGCGCGUUUUGCAUAAUUUCACGAAUCGCGCGUAUAAUCGUUCCCCGCCGGUACAAAACGCAGCGGCAUUUUGUGUCGUACUCGCGCGACCCUGGCCUCUUCUGUAUUAGCAUAAGCUUUUCGAAAUGACGCAGAAAGAGCGACACGUGACCCGUCACAAGCCGGAAGGACCAGGCCCUCGAAAACGAAAGGUUUCAGGCGUCAUGAAUUUCUGAACCAACUCCGUUCUUUUCUUCCUCGUCCCUCGAAUUACCUCCCCACUGUCGAUUGUCGAUGUAUCAAAAUUUUGUCGAGCUAUGAGACAUAUAGGAGGAAGCUGAAGAACGUUUUCUAAGGGACACGUGGCAGACAGAGAGAGAGAGAGAGAGAGGGAGAGUCGCCUUGAACUUUUACACGAGCACGAGCCACGCUAUUAUUAUGGUAGCAGACGAUACACCGAUGUAAAUGAAUUUUAUAUGUGGGUUCUGAAGGAAUCAGUUGGAGAUUUGAAAUAGGUUGUGUUGCAUUUGUAUGUUGAUGAAGUUGUUUGAGAUUCAGGAGAUCUAUGAAGUGGCUGAUGGGGUGGUACGUUGAUUUGAAUAUGCGGAUUUGUCUAUUGUCUGAUGAUUUUUAAAUAAUAGGUACUAAUGAGUACUAAUGAGUACUAAUAACAGGUAAUAAUGAGUACUUGUGUAGGUAAAUUUGUUAUGUUUCUUUCUUACGAAGCUUGUAAUGAAUUCGCGGCUAUAUGGUAUAUAAGCUUUUUACUAUAAGUAGGAUGAUUUAAGAAGGAAAUGAUUUAGUGAGAAGAUUUUUAUCUUUGUGAUUGUAAUAACACGCGAGCUUACAUCGAUAGUAACUACGUAAUUAUGGAUCGAAUAAUCAGAAAUAUUAUAACUCGAACUCUUUGCAAUAUGUUUUAUAGUAAUGCAGAUUUCAUAAUGUACAUAAUUUCAUAAUGAGUAGGAAAUAGACAUAAGUAUCUCAACAAGAUGUAACCAUCGAUCAAACUUACUCGCAAUUAAAAUGUUGGCCAAAGUUUUAAAUUUAACCUAGCUACGCGCGUAUAACUAUUCUUUUUUUAGCUGUAACUUUCACUAUUCACCUUCGCGAUAAUGAUUUAAUUGUCUCUCGCGUAUCCAUAUACGGUAGAGUAGUUGGAAGAAAAUGAAUACGUAUUGCUUUGCUAUCUGAUAAUUGAUAAUUUAUACCUAAGGAUUCACGAUGAAAUAGAAACUUCUUACAUAAUAAUUGGCGAAAUAGAUGUUAAAAUAAUCAAUCUACGAAAUGUACCACGCGUAUCAAUCAUCCUACAAGAGGAAUAAAAAGAAGCAGGGAUAUCAAGUGAUAAUUCCAGAGGACAUAAAGUGAGAGCUACCAAGAGUAAUCACCGGAUCGUUACCAGGCACAAUACUUUCAUGGAGCGAUUUAACGCGCGCGUUCUCGAACAAAGCCAUUAGAUUUCACAAGGAAUAUCGAAGUCUUUGUCGUGUAUAGUCGGUACAAAGGCCGCGAAAAAGGCGAAGCCAGGGUUCAAACGCACCGACGAUCGCUCGUCACCAAGGAAUCAAUUUUCCGAAUGAAUAUCCCAACCUUUUGUUCUCCUUCUUUUUUCUCUCUUUCCUCCUUUCCUUCCACGCGUCCGCUUCCAUUCAGAGCUUGAAUCGCGUCGUUUAGGGAAUUUCGUGGCGUCGCGUCGGUGGCAGUGAACGGGGCCGUCAACACCGUCCAUGACCACGUGUACAAUGGCCCUCUCUCGCAAUCAUCCACCUCCCUGCGUAUAGAUCGCCUCUAUUGUUACCUCGAAAGACGCGACGAAAAAGUGGCGCGACUAAUUACCUCGGCCGGCCCGAUCGACAAAACCUUGGAAAGUCGAGUGUAAAUCACGUAACAAUUACAAAGGCGUCGAGCCAACAUCGUUUCCAUUGCCAGUUCCCCGUGUUGUGUGUACAGUAACGUUGUUUUCUUAACUGUGAUUGAAAUCGAUCGACGUGGAUCGUAAAUAUUCUAAAUGGUUCGCUACUUGGGAAUUUGUUAAGACGACGAGUAGACUGUAGAUAUUCGAAUUGCUCGGUGAAAAUUUAAAAUCACGAUGUGUUUUUAUAGGAUUCGAUAUCUUUAAAGAAAUCGAAAACUUACGUACGAAAAUACUAGACUGUGGAUUUUUAUCCAUUUAUGAGAAGUUUGAGGGCGUAAAGAUGUAUAGAACACGCAUAAUACGCUCGUUCUUCGUUUUAAAAUUUUUUCUACGUGUCUCUGAUACUUUUGAAGAACAUGUUACGUACGUAUAUCUUUCGGAAAAAUAUUUCUCAACUUUCAAACGCGACAGACAUACUUAACUGUAUUUCUUUUACUAGAUUUUAAAUGAUAUAUAUUUAAAACGUAUAGCGUAAUUUCGAUAUUUAAGAAUUACUAUUACUGACAUAGUUCUCUCCAAACAUGAAUAUACUUCAUACGAUACGAAUCAGAACCUUCUACACAUAAAUCUACUAAUAACGAUAACUGUUAUUGUAGUUGUAACUUAAGACCUUAUUUAUUUUAUUACCAAACUGAUCGAUACGUUACACACCCGUGCCUUGUAAAAUUUUCCUAAUAAUAUCGAUCCAAUUAAAAAUUACUUGUUACCAUAUAACACGAAUAAUAAAAAUUCAAGUAGAAGCGAACGUAUCGAGUGAAUCUCCCGAUAACCAGACACUACAACUCCAAAUCUCAGUAUUCUUUCCCUGAAACAAAAUUCCAUGACCAAAUGGAAAUAUUCUGUAGGACGCGGUUUGACUGUCGAGCAUCUACGUCUCCGCAUUAGAAAUCCAGGCGCGAACGUGUAAUCUUACGGAGUACGGUUAACGCUUCCCUGUCGGUUCUAAUUCAUUGCUUGAACGCGAGUCGAUCGAGCAACCUCGGCCCACGAUAAACUCGCUUGUUUUCCAUGCCAGUACCAGCUUGGCUGGUCUCGACAAUGCCAUGUAUGUACUCGUAGAGCCGAGUCGUCGAAUCGUCCGUGUCACGGAAUGAACCCGGCUUAAUUACCUGGUGAUGCACGACUACCAGACGAACCACGUCGUAAUUCGCCUUAACAGCCGUGGUUUACGCAAAACUCGCGUGAUCGACCGGCCAUGGUACCUGGAAACACGCUUUCUUCCGUCUCGAGUGUCGCCUCCUCGAUUCACGCGGGUUAGGUAGUCGAUAUUUCACGCGUUCCUCUCGCCAGGAAUUUAAACGUUUAUUUGAAUACGAAGGCUUGAGAGAAGAACACGAUAUGUCAUAUUUUAUAUUUUUUACAGAGGAGCAGUUUUAAAAUUUAGUUUUCUCCGUCAAUUAAUUCCGCGUUACUACGAUUGUUCUUUUGUUCGAUUUUGGCAUAUUUUUCUAUCUUCUUCGUAAUUUUAUGUAAACCCACGUUCGUAAUUCCCACUUUUAUCGUUGUUUCCACUCAUUCGAUCUAUCAAAUCCUUAAAAUUUCUCAUACGGCGAUAAUUGAAGUCAUAAAAUCAAGAAACAUGAAUUUAUCGUGUUCUCCUGCUGUGACUUUCAUAUUUAUAUACUUAUCGUAAUCAAUUAACUUGUGUUACUCGUAGUAGGCUAAAGUAGGAUUAUUUUGAGUUCUGUUCGUUCACUUCGAAUCUUGUAAUUAACAUAUUCGGUUACGAGCAUCUUUGUAACGGUCUAUAAUCGAAAAUAGACUAUUUGAUUCGUGAUUUAUUCUUAGUGGCGUCUCUGCAAUUAAUUGAUAUCGUGUUGCGAGCAUAAU